rnacentral:rRNA from 1 species
GACGAACGCUGGCGGCGUGCUUAACACAUGCAAGUCGAACGGAAAGGCCCUGCUUGCCGGGUACUCGAGUGGCGAACGGGUGAGUAACACGUGGGUGAUCUGCCCUGCACUUCGGGAUAAGCCUGGGAAACUGGGUCUAAUACCGGAUAGGAGCCAUUUUUAGUGUGAUGGUUGGAAAGUUUUUUCGGUGUAGGAUGAGCUCGCGGCCUAUCAGCUUGUUGGUGGGGUAAUGGCCUACCAAGGCGGCGACGGGUAGCCGGCCUGAGAGGGUGGACGGCCACAUUGGGACUGAGAUACGGCCCAGACUCCUACGGGAGGCAGAAGUGGGGAAUAUUGCACAAUGGGCGCAAGCCUGAUGCAGCGACGCCGCGUGGGGGAUGACGGCCUUCGGGUUGUAAACUCCUUUCGCUAGGGACGAAGCUUUUUGUGACGGUACCUAGAUAAGAAGCACCGGCUAACUACGUG